rnacentral:lncRNA from 1 species
UGCAAAUUAGUUUGAUUCCAUCUUUGACUGACCUCUCUUGUCAGGAGUAUAAAAUAAGUAAUUUGCCUUAUGGUUAAUUUUUAAUAUUGUCAUAAUUUAAUUUUCUUUUUCAAGUUAUAUGUAAGUAGUGAGAGAUUUUUAAACUUGAGUUACCAUAUAAGUAGAGAAAUUAUAUUUCAUUGGGUAUAUAAUACAUUUUCUAACAUUUUCCCACCAGUAAGUAGAGUUUUCUAAGUUGACCAAACAUCAAAUCAGAAUCUAAACAGGAAUUACACUGAAAUAAAUUCACAUCACAGAAAAGGUUCUGUAUUUGUUUGAUCAUAUUGCAUGCAUAUAAUGCUUAUUUAGUAAUAACUGCUGUGUAUUAGAUAAAGAUAAAAAUAUAUGUAAGGAUUAUUUCUAAGGAAAGGCUAAUUUCCAAAACCUUGUAUUAUAAUCGCAACAAUAACAGGAACACCCUGUUUCACCUCUGAAUCAUAGAUCACCCAGCUUUGCAAAAGUCUGAUUUGUAGCAUUUUUCUUAGUGUACUUUGAAAUUAACUAUCCAGAAAGCUCAAGGAGAAAGAAAUAUUUUGAGAUGGUAUUUGAAGUACACUAAAGAUGAUCAUGGUUCUGAAUAUCUUCAGAAAAUCUUCAAAGAAAGUGAAAAUUAAAUCUUUAACAGUGCAGGGAGCUUGUACAUUGAAAAAUACAUUUAUAUGGCUUGGUUUCUUGACUAUGGCAAAACCCAAUUUGGAUUAAAUUUGACAGAAAUGAUGCAGUAGUAACAGCAAAGUUUUAAAGUAAAUUAAUGGUUACAAGUAGUUACAGAGUAGGUUG